rnacentral:tRNA from 2 species
UGAGUUAUGGUGUAACGGUAGCACAACAGAUUCUGACUCUGUUUGUCUAGGUUCGAAUCCUGGUAACUCAACGA